UACGUAGGUGGCAAGCGUUGUCCGGAUUUACUGGGCGUAAAGAGCGCGCAGGCGGUCGUUCAAGUCGCGUGUGAAAGCCCCCGGCUCAACUGGGGAGGGUCACGCGAUACUGAUCGACUCGAAGGCAGGAGAGGGUAGUGGAAUUCCGGGUGUAGUGGUGAAAUGCGUAGAGAUCCGGAGGAACCCCAGUGGCGAAGGCGACACGCUGGGCCGUACCUGACACUGAUGCGCGACAGCAUGGGGAGCAAACAGG
rnacentral:rRNA from 1 species